GGAGGGCACUUGGUUCAAUGGCAGAAUAUCUACUUGGCAUGUAGAAGAGCCCAGGUUCAAUCCCCAGUGUCUCCA
rnacentral:tRNA from 1 species